rnacentral:sRNA from 15 species
UCGUCUUGCCAAGUGCAGUGGGAACCAUGUACGGAAGAAAACCUCCGAUGAGUGUACUCCCCGAUCAAAGGUUCCUCUUCUUUCGGUUUGAUUGAAGAAAUUGCCAGCUUUUAUAUGUGGUUCCCACCGUGCCUUGAGGGGAAAUCAAUUCAAUUGAUUUGCAUUUAAUUGUUGUCUAUUUUUAGUGGCGUGGCUGUGAUUUUGGCUGACGGAAACAACGGCGGCUAGCCCCAAAAGCAGUCCGAAGAGGAAGAACCCGUGGCCGCAUUUGGCCAUUGAAAGUGGAGCCGCUGCGAGAGCCAAGGGAAACCAAGUCCAGGUCCAGUUCCAGUUCUUCUCCACUCUGCUAAGCAGCUUCAGCAAGUGCUAACAACCUCCGCCGCUGGCCAACAAUGCAACUGCGAUGGACUGCAGAGCUGCAGACCUGCAGCUUCUGCCUCCGCUCGCCUGCCGACUAUUGAAUUAUUCAUUUGCUCAGACCAAAAUCCAACAAAAGAAGAAGGAAGACCAGCGACAAAAGUCCAUAAAAUGCUCUUGUGGCCAGCGACGAGGGAGAGCAGCUUCGGAAUGGCAAAUGGCAAACGGCAAACAGUGACAACUCGCCUAAUUACAACGAAUCUUUGGCUCUGCAAAGUAAAUUUGUCCACUCAAAGAGUGCUUGAACCAACACAAAACCCAGGCCCCGAGAGUGCCUGGUACUGGGGCUUAUGCAACGACACUCUGCAGUCUCCAGUCGGGGAUUUGCAUCAGCGAGCGUGGCGAGCUUUUGUUUCCAUGGAAUUUCUAAGCAACAAUAGAAAGGAUUUGGAGCGGAGUAAGCGAAGCGACCAUGGAACUGAAGCAAUUACUUAGCAGGCUUUAUCGGACGUUCAACAGUCACGAAAUGGUUUGCAAUUUACUAUAUAAACCAGCGACAAUGUUCGGUGAACUCAGAAUCAAUCAGCAUGAAGCUUCCUCGACUGUUUCUGCUCUGCGGCGCCCUGCUGAUGAUGAUGAUGCCACUCUCCUGGGGCAUAGAUCCAGGAUUUCUGGAGUAUAUAAAAAAACGUGUGACAACCUAAAAUAUCCCUUAAGUGUAUCAUAUUGAAUGGACUACCAGCAGAAGCCUUUCUUAAUCGAUUCUUAAGUUUUGUUUUGAUGUAAAAUAUACCGAAUGGCCUGAUUUUUAGCGCAA